rnacentral:rRNA from 1 species
UGCAGUCGUGCGCGAAAGUCUUCGGACGAGUAAAGCGGCGAAAGGGUGAGUAACACGUAACCAACGUACCCCUAAGACCGGGAUAACCACUGGAAACGGUGGGUAAAACCGGAUGGCCCUCGGAAGGGCAUCCUUCCGCAGGUAAACGGUGGCUUCGGCUGCUGCUGAGGGAGCGGGUUGCGGCCUAUCAGCUUGUUGGUGGGGUAACGGCCUACCAAGGCGAUGACGGGUAGCGGGUCUGAGAGGAUGAUCCGUCACACUGGGACUGAGACACUGCCCAGACUCCUACGGGAGGCUGCAGUCGAGAAUCUUCCACAAUGGGCGAAAGCCUGAUGGAGCGACGCUGCGUGCAGGAUGAAGGCCUUAGGGUUGUAAACUGCUGUCACGCUAUAGGAAACCAUAGGGGUUAAUAGCCUCUGUGCUGACCAAAGCGAGAGGAAGUGCCGGCUAACUCCGUGCCAGCAGCCGCGGUAAGACGGAGGGCGCAAGCGUUGUUCGGAAUCACUGGGCAUAAAGAGCACGUAGGCUGCCAGCUCAGUCUGGUGUGAAAGCCCCCGGCCCAACCGGGGAACUGCACCAGAUACUGGCUGGCUAGAGGACAGGAGGGGUGAGUGGAACUCCAGGUGGAACGGUGAAAUGUGUAGAUAUCUGGAGGAACACCGGUGGCGAAAGCGGCUCACUGGCCUGUCUCUGACGCUGAGGUGCGAAAGCUAGGGGAGCGAACGGGAUUAGAUACCCCGGUAGUCCUAGCCGUAAACGAUGGGCACUAGGCAGCGGGCCUUCCUAUGGGGCUCACUGCUGUAGCUAAUGUGUUAAGUGCCC